UUGAUCCUGGGCUCAGGAUGAACGCCGGCGGUGUGCCUAAUACAUGCAAGUCGUACGCACUGGCCCAACUGAUUGAUGGUGCUUGCACCUGAUUGACGAUGGAUCACCAGUGAGUGGCGGACGGGUGAGUAACACGUAGGUAACCUGCCCCGGAGCGGGGGAUAACAUUUGGAAACAGAUGCUAAUACCGCAUAACAACAAAAGCUGCAUGGUUUUUGUUUGAAAGAUGGCUUUGGCUAUCACUCUGGGAUGGACCUGCGGUGCAUUAGCUAGUUGGUAAGGUAACGGCUUACCAAGGCGAUGAUGCAUAGCCGAGUUGAGAGACUGAUCGGCCACAAUGGAACUGAGACACGGUCCAUACUCCUACGGGAGGCAGCAGUAGGGAAUCUUCCACAAUGGGCGCAAGCCUGAUGGAGCAACACCGCGUGAGUGAAGAAGGGUUUCGGCUCGUAAAGCUCUGUUGUUGGAGAAGAACGUGCGUGAGAGUAACUGUUCACGCAGUGACGGUAUCCAACCAGAAAGUCACGGCUAACUACGUGCCAGCAGCCGCGGUAAUACGUAGGUGGCAAGCGUUAUCCGGAUUUAUUGGGCGUAAAGCGAGCGCAGGCGGUUGCUUAGGUCUGAUGUGAAAGCCUUCGGCUUAACCGAAGAAGUGCAUCGGAAACCGGGCGACUUGAGUGCAGAAGAGGACAGUGGAACUCCAUGUGUAGCGGUGGAAUGCGUAGAUAUAUGGAAGAACACCAGUGGCGAAGGCGGCUGUCUGGUCUGCAACUGACGCUGAGGCUCGAAAGCAUGGGUAGCGAACAGGAUUAGAUACCCUGGUAGUCCAUGCCGUAAACGAUGAGUGCUAGGUGUUGGAGGGUUUCCGCCCUUCAGUGCCGGAGCUAACGCAUUAAGCACUCCGCCUGGGGAGUACGACCGCAAGGUUGAAACUCAAAGGAAUUGACGGGGGCCCGCACAAGCGGUGGAGCAUGUGGUUUAAUUCGAAGCUACGCGAAGAACCUUACCAGGUCUUGACAUCUUGCGCUAACCUUAGAGAUAAGGCGUUCCCUUCGGGGACGCAAUGACAGGUGGUGCAUGGUCGUCGUCAGCUCGUGUCGUGAGAUGUUGGGUUAAGUCCCGCAACGAGCGCAACCCUUGUUACUAGUUGCCAGCAUUAAGUUGGGCACUCUAGUGAGACUGCCGGUGACAAACCGGAGGAAGGUGGGGACGACGUCAGAUCAUCAUGCCCCUUAUGACCUGGGCUACACACGUGCUACAAUGGACGGUACAACGAGUCGCAAGCUCGCGAGAGUAAGCUAAUCUCUUAAAGCCGUUCUCAGUUCGGACUGUAGGCUGCAACUCGCCUACACGAAGUCGGAAUCGCUAGUAAUCGCGGAUCAGCAUGCCGCGGUGAAUACGUUCCCGGGCAUUGUACACACCGCCCGUCACACCAUGGGAGUUUGUAACGCCCAAAGUCGGUGGCCUAACCUUUAUGGAGGAAGCCGCCUAAGGCGGGACAGAUGACUGGGGUGA
rnacentral:rRNA from 1 species